rnacentral:rRNA from 1 species
CUUCGAUGGUUAGCUGGUCUGAGAGGAUGAUCAGCCACACUGGAACUGAGACACGGUCCAGACUCCUACGGGAGGCAGCAGUGGGGAAUCUUGCACAAUGGAGGAAACUCUGAUGCAGCGACGCCGCGUGAGCGAUGAAGCCCCUCGGGGUGUAAAGCUCUUUCGACGGGAAAGAUAAUGACGGUACCCGAAGAAGAAGCUGCGGCUAACUACGUGCCAGCAGCCGCGGUAAUACGUAGGCAGCAAGCGUUGUUCGGAAUUACUGGGCGUAAAGAGUGUGUAGGCGGUGCUCUAAGUCUGUUGUGAAAUCUCCCAGCUUAACUGGGAGGGUGCGGCGGAGACUGGAGUGCUAGAGUGUGGGAGAGGUAAGCGGAAUUCCUGGUGUAGCGGUGAAAUGCGUAGAUAUCAGGAGGAACACCUGUGGUGUAGACAGCUUACUGGACCACGACUGACGCUGAGACACGAAAGCGUGGGUAGCAAACAGGAUUAGAUACCCUGGUAGUCCAUGCCGUAAACGAUGUCAACUAGGUGUUGGGGGAGGAGACUCUCUUAGUACCGCAGCUAACGCGUGAAGUUGACCGCCUGGGGAGUACGGCCGCAAGGUUA